rnacentral:rRNA from 1 species
AGAUUAAGUUAUUAAGGGCGCACGGUGGAUGCCUUGGCACUAGAAGCCGAUGAAGGACGUUACUAACGACGAUAUGCUUUGGGGAGCUGUAAGUAAGCUUUGAUCCAGAGAUUUCCGAAUGGGGAAACCCAGCAUGAGUUAUGUCAUGUUAUCGAUAUGUGAAUACAUAGCAUAUCAGAAGGCACACCCGGAGAACUGAAACAUCUUAGUACCCGGAGG